UUUUUCUCAGCCUGUCUUCUACAUCGGGGGCCCCGAUCUACAACCACCCCCGUGCCCAGCACAGGCUGUAGGAGAGCUCUGGUCACUCCGCGUUCUUGCCGAUUCCUGGAACUGCCAAAUGUCUCAGGUUCCGAAAUCUGUUUAGAGGUGGUGGAGAUGUUCUCUGGAUGAACAAAUCUUCACUUGACGGCAAAGUCUUAAUCUUUUCCUUUGUCAUUGUUAAUGACUUCAGUUCUCCCCUACCCCCAAGGUCGUGAAGAUUUUUCUGUGUUGCCUCCUAGAAGAGACGCAGCGUUGCCUUCAACCUGUACAUCUCUAAUCCAGUUAAAACUGGGUGGGUGUGUACAAGGACCACCUUCAUUGGUUUCUGUGUAGUUCCACCAAUUUACUUAUCUUAUUGGAUUUGACAAUUCAAUAGAAAAAUGGGCCCAAGGUUUGAAAAGGCCUUUCUGAGAAGAGGAAAUGAUAUUACAUGCUCACCAGAUUUCAGAAACUGAGACAUCUGACAGUUGCAAGAAUUCACAAUAUCUUAUUCUGUACCAGUACCUCCAUUGUAGUGGUUAUUAAAUUGUUUUAAAAAAUAAA